rnacentral:lncRNA from 1 species
UGACUGAAGUUCUUGAGGUCUGUCAGGGUGAUUAUUAAGGAACUCCAUCUCAUUAUAGGGAGGACGCCUCCGUGUUGGGUUUGGUUCUCGUGCACAGGAAAGACGGGAAGAAACGAAAUAAUGGAGUAAAGAUGAGUCUUACCCAUUUCACGGACUGCAUGGUUUCGUCAGGCUACUUUUUUUUU